UACGAAGGGGGCUAGCGUUGUUCGGAAUUACUGGGCGUAAAGCGCGCGCAGGCGGUCUUCCAAGUCAGUGGUGAAAGCCCGGAGCUCAACUCCGGAACUGCCAUUGAAACUGUGAGACUUGAGUAUGAGAGAGGGAUGUGGAAUUCCAGGUGUAGCGGUGAAAUGCGUAGAUAUCUGGAGGAACACCGGUGGCGAAGGCGGCUUGCUGGACCCUUUCUGACGCUGAGGCGCGAAAGCCAGGGGAGCGAACGGG
rnacentral:rRNA from 1 species